rnacentral:lncRNA from 1 species
CUCUUCCUCCCGAGCCUUUGCGGCGGAGCUUCGGUCGCGUUGAGCCGCGCCUCCUCUUCCUCCUCCACGCUGCCCUCGACAGGCCGCGCCACUUCCUGGGGUGCGAAGGGACUCGGGUGCGAGCCUGGGCCUGCAGCGCGGCGGCGGAGAGAACGGAGAGGACAGCUGGCGGGUGGUUAUCUGGAGUGGUUUGGGGCCGCGGCGGCGUUCUGGCCAGUGGGCCUUGGUGGGCUAGGAAGAGAGGCAGAAAAAGGUUACCCAGGAAACGGGCUUCGACGCCGGGCGAGGAGUGGCACGUUCGAAACCCCCUCCCUAACUCAGCCCGGCUGGACCCCGCUGCUUAACGGGGGGUCCUGCGGCAAAGAAAGUGGACGGGUUGCCACUUCUGUGCCUCCCCAUCAGGUAGCCUGGGCUAUAAGGGGCUCUCAGACCAGCUUGGUUCCAGAUGUGUGUGUGGCGGGAGUCCUGUAUACUUUGAAGAGGAGAGCAGCAAGAAGCCUCUAACUCCCAGGCCAGCGUGCAGGAGAUCAGCCGGCGUUACAGUCUACACUGGGCUACCCACUGUCCCAUGAAGUAGCAGUUCUCCCCAUGUCGUAGAGUGGGGCCCCGGCAGAUUAAGAAACUUUCCUAAGAGCCCACAGCUGGCAAGAGGCAGAAUUCUGGCUCCGAAACCCAUGUUUUCUACAGGUUUACCCUUUGUUGAUUUGCAAGUAAGGGCUGAAGGCUGUGUGGGUGAGAGACUUAGGCACUGAAGCCACUUGACCUCGAUUUGACCCAGAGGCCUCAGGCCCUGAGUGAGCAGAGACACCUCACCCCAGAGAAAGACUCAUGGAGGUGCUGUCAGUAAUGUGGAUAGGGAAGUUGAGGGCUCUGGCAGCCAACCAUCAGGGAAUAACAGUAGCUACCUUAUUUUGAGAGUUUGCUGUGUGCCAGUACUAUCUGCCAUGAAGUAGGUGGUGUUACGGUGUCCAUUUCACAGAUGAGAAAAUAAGGCUUAUGAGUUGACACUUUGGUUGUGAUCAUACAGAAUCAACUUUCCUCACUUGACUUCCUGGACACCAGGUCCUUCUGAUCUUCCUCACUUCACUGGCCAUUUCUGUCUCCUCUCUGGACUUCUUCCCCAGUUGCUGAAGGCCCCAGCCAUAGUCCAUGAUGUUCUUUUGUGUCUACACUUACUGCCUCGGAAUGAUUUAUAAUAUCCAAAUGCUGAUCACUGAUUUGUCUCCAGCCCAGAUCUCUUCCCUGACCUCCAGAUUCAACUGCUUAUUUUACUGGCAUCUCAAACACAAUACAUCUUGCCCUCAGCAACCUACUCCUUACACACCACUCCCGUUCUUACCUCCCUCAGAGAGUGAUACUAUUGUUUAUUCAGUUCCCCAGAAUCUAAAAGGUGUCCUUGAUGUGCUUCUCUUGCUCUCAAUGCCAUUUGCAAGCCCUCAGCCAGCUUUGUCAGUGCUACCUUCAAAACAUCAAAAUUCACCACCAGCCAACUCUGAUGUAACCAUCCUCGAUCAAGCCACCAUCAUCUUGCCCUGGGUUAUAUGGCAGCUACUAAUUGGUCACCCUGCUUCCACCUCCUCCAUUCCUCCUCCCUAGUCUGUUUUCCACAGAGCAUCCAGGAAAUCUUUGUAAGCAUAAAUCAGAUCAUGCCAUUUUGUUCAGAACCAAAUCCACAGAAACCCUGUUCAAUCUGGUUCCUAUUUCCCUCCCCACCCACAUCUGUCACUCUACCAUGCUGGACCUGCCUUAGCCACACUAGCCUGAUAGCUAUUCCUUGAACUUGCCAUAUUUCUUCCUGCCUCAGGGCCUUUGUACUUGCUGUUCAUUUAGCCUGAAACACUUGUCCCCAAUAUUUCAUUCAAUUCAGGUCUCUUAAAUGUCACCUUAUGACAGAGACCUUUUCAGACUACCUUAUGCAGAAUGGCCUCCUGCCCAAAUCUGCUUAAACUGCUUGAAUUUUUUUUUUUUUUUUUUUGAGACAAAGUCUUGCUUUUGUCCCCCAGGUUGGAGUGCAAUGGUGCAAUCUCACCUCACUGCAACCUCUGCCUCCCGGGUUCAAGCGAUUCUCCUGCCUCAGCCUCUUGAGUAGCUGGGAUUACAGGUGCCUGCCAUCACGCCGGGCUAAUUUUUUGUGUUUUUAGUAGAGACGGAUUUCACCAUGUUGGCCAGGCUGGUUUCAAACUCCUGACCUCAGGUGAUCCGCCCGCCUCGGCCUCCCAAAGUGCUGGGAUUACAGGCGUGAGCCACCGCGCCCGGCCUUAACCUGCUUGAUUUUUUUCAGAGUGGAUAUCAAC